CCUUCAUCCAAAGCUAGAGAUCUCUCCCCGCUUGAUUGGACAUCCUUUAGUUCUUUCCAUGUGUGGAACUGAAUGUUUAUCUCCUACUGAAAUGUUAUGUACAGAAGGUUUGCACUUUGCUGACAGACACAUCCAAGCAUCAAUUGUUAAUGAUAUCUGCUCCAUGUGACUAUGAGCCCUGAACUUCAUGAAAGCUGAUAUAAAAUAAUCCAACUGAAGCAAAUGCUGUUUCUUCAGCUGGUCAAUGAACCAGAGGUUUCUAAAUUGCCUCCUUACCUUUGACUAACAUUUUAGCCUUCCAAGGCCCUGAUAAUAAUGUGCCAAUGUCAGCAGGAAGUAAUUACAGAAGCCAAAACACUGUUUUCCAAGCGUGCCUCUGCCAAGGUGGAUGCAACACUGGAAAAGGCCAUGGGAAAGGAGAAAGGAUCACACAGAAGAGUGCAAACAAAAGGGAAGAGGAAAAUAAAGGCAACAGGCUAAAGUGGCUGACCAACAACUACAGAUCUGCCAGUGGAAAGUGGAGACACUGAAAAACAGAGUCCAGUCUCUCAAGUAAAAGAGAAAAGCCAAGUCUGACUAACCAUCCAUCAUGUCUGUCAUUAACCCUGCCUUGCUUCUUGUACAAUCCAGAGGAAUAUUUUAACCAACUAUUUGAAAAUGCAAGGUGAAUGCACUCAAGGACAUGGAAAUACAGGUAGAUGUGACAAAUCUGAUGUAGGUGCUGGGAAUCAAACUUGGGUAACCAAGAGGACCAGUACUACUGAGCCAACUCUUCAGGUCCCAAAUAUGUCAAUAUAAUUUUGAUGAUGAAGAUGUCCUACUGCUCUUUCUGUCUGCUGUGACUUGAAGGUGAAGAAAGUCCCCUCUAGA